rnacentral:rRNA from 2 species
ACGUGUAGCGGUGAAAUGCGUAGAGAUGUGGAGGAACACCAGUGGCGAAGGCGACUCUCUGGUCUGUAACUGACGCUGAGGAGCGAAAGCGUGGGGAGCGAACAGGAUUAGAUACCCUGGUAGUCCACGCCGUAAACGAUGAGUGCUAAGUGUUAGGGGGUUUCCGCCCCUUAGUGCUGCAGCUAACGCAUUAAGCACUCCGCCUGGGGAGUACGGUCGCAAGACUGAAACUCAAAGGAAUUGACGGGGGCCCGCACAAGCGGUGGAGCAUGUGGUUUAAUUCGAAGCAACGCGAAGAACCUUACCAGGUCUUGACAUCCUCUGACAAUCCUAGAGAUAGGACGUCCCCUUCGGGGGCAGAGUGACAGGUGGUGCAUGGUU